rnacentral:rRNA from 1 species
UGGGGAAUAUUGCACAAUGGGCGCAAGCCUGAUGCAGUCAUGCCGCGUGUGUGAAGAAGGCCUCGGUUGUAAAGCACUUUCAGCGAGGAGGAAGGUGGUGAGCUUAAUACGCUCAUCAAUUGACGUUACUCGCAGAAGAAGCACCGGCUAACUCCGUGCCAGCAGCCGCGGUAAUACGGAGGGUGCAAGCGUUAAUCGGAAUUACUGGGCGUAAAGCGCACGCAGGCGGUUUGUUAAGUCAGAUGUGAAAAUCCCCGGGCUCAACCUGGGAACUGCAUUUGAAACUGGCAAGCUAGAAGUCUCGUAGAGGGGGGUAGAAUUCCAGGUGUAGCGGUGAAAUGCGUAGAGAUCUGGAGGAAUACCGGUGGCGAAGGCGGCCCCCUUGGACGAAGACUGACGCUCAGGUGCGAAAGCGUGGGGAGCAAACAGGAUUAGAUAACCCUGGUAGUCCACGCUGUAAACGAUGUCGAUUUUGGAGGUUGUGCCCUUGAGGCGUGGCUUCCGGAGCUAACGCGUUAAAGUCGA